rnacentral:tRNA from 1 species
AGAAAGUUAGUCUAACUAAGACAGUUGAUUUCGACUCAACAGAUCAUAA